rnacentral:rRNA from 1 species
AACGAACGCUGGCGGCAUGCCUAACACAUGCAAGUCGAACGAGACCUUCGGGUCUAGUGGCGCACGGGUGCGUAACGCGUGGGAACCUGCCCUUAGGUUCGGAAUAACUCCCCGAAAGGGGUGCUAAUACCGGAUCAUGUCUUCGGACCAAAGAUUUAUCGCCUUUGGAUGGGCUCGCGUUGGAUUAGCUAGUUGGUAGGGUAAAAGCCUACCAAGGCGACGAUCCAUAGCUGGUCUGAGAGGAUGAUCAGCCACACUGGGACUGAGACACGGCCCAGACUCCUACGGGAGGCAGCAGUGGGGAAUAUUGGACAAUGGGCGGAAGCCUGAUCCAGCAAUGCCGCGUGAGUGAUGAAGGCCUUAGGGUUGUAAAGCUCUUUUACCCGGGAUGAUAAUGACAGUACCGGGAGAAUAAGCUCCGGCUAACUCCGUG